CUUGAAUGGAGAAAAAUUGGUAACAUGUAAGCUAAUAAACCCAUGGGUACAUGAAGGACUCAAAGUGGAAAAGGAAAAUGGUAAGCUUAACACUAUGUUUUAAAGCCUACGGUUAGUUGAAUAUUGUGAGGCAUUAUAGUUGUUGAAAGGAUUUAUUUGCCUAAGCUAGUUCAAAAUUAUUAAGAUUGUAUGGCAUGUUGUUUGAAAGAAAUGAAAAAGGAAUAUGGGGGAUGGAGGAUUGAGAAACAAAGUAUUGAAAGUUAGAUAGAUAACGAUCCAUGUAAACUAGGAAAUAAUCGAGUGAAAGUGAGAAUGAUUGUUGCUGCCAUAUAUAUGGAUUAUGUGUGGAAAUAUAAGAUGGAUUUGGGCAAAAAUUAUUUAGAAAGGUUGAAGUAGGCAUGUGAUAUCAUAAAUAAGUUACCGGUGAUAUAAUCUAAGGAAUUUCGUAAGCAAUGGAUAUAAGUAAGUUUGGUAAAAAUGUAUUAAGAUGUGACUUAGUUGAAGAUGGUUUCAUGAUAGGCUGAAAAAUAUAAAUUUGAGUAAGGAUUAAUUGAUUGAAAUGCUGCCCCUAUACGUAUAUAAUUAAAUAUAUUGAGUUCGUAUUAUUGUUAGGAAGUGCAAAGAUAAGGUUAGAGUACUGUGGUGGUGUGUUGGAGUAAAUAACGAGCGAUCGACCAGUGAAAAUAGUUAAAGACACCUCCGAUCAAAUAGCGAUUAAUAUCCCGCUAUAGUAAGGUGAGUGAACUUGCACUAAAAUGUUUUGGAUAGAUGUACAUACAUUUGAGCAGACCACUUGAACCGUUUAAAUUAUCUUUUCUUCAAAAUGCAUGGGAACAAGCCUUUAGUGAAAUGUUUUUGUGAUGUGGAACAUGAUUGUGAUGAAUCUAUGUACUUUUAUAUGACGCUGAUAUGUAUAUAAAGAUAUAUGAUAUAUAUAUAUUGUUAAGUAAUUUUGUAUAAUUGAUGUGACUGUGCAUGUGUGGAGUGGGCAGUGCACAUGCCGGUUGAGUGAUAAUGUUGGUAUCAGAGUAAAGGGUUUAACCCGAUCCUUAGGAACUCUCGCAUGUGAACAGUGGCGAAGCCUGACUCUCCGCCCAAGGGCUUGUAGAGAGGGCUGUCCCUUACGAGUGCUCUGAUAGGUACCGUUUGUUGCCACCGUUAAAUGAAGAAGGGCUGCUUGUAGCGAGAGUUGUCCCCUACGAGUGAAGCCGUCGCUGAAAGAGGAAAGGGCUGCUUGUAGCGAGGGUCGUCCCUUAUGAGUGGAGCCCAACCAUGCAUGUGCGGAGUGGGUAGUGUACAUGCCGGUAAUGAUGCUAUCGUGAUAUUUAUAACUGUGCAUGUACGGAGUAGGCAGUGCACAUGCCAGUAAUGAUGCACAUCAGCCGAGUGAGGUGAUGGUGGUGUAAGUGCUUAUACAUAUUUACUAUAUAGAGAUGUUUGGAUUUAAAAUGUGAUUGCAUUGACUAUUGAAAACUUGAGUAUUGUCAAUGUGUUCAAUUUAAUGUGCAAUGUGGCAUGAGUGGAUUUUUUCGGUGGCAGUGAAAGCCCCUUGGAUUUUUAUCUGGCCAGAAUUUCGUUGCAGCGAGAAUGCCUUUUUGCUGCGAUGAGAGUUAAUCUAUUAUGCUUGACGUGCUUGAAAUCUACUAAAGUUUUCACUUCUCAACUUCUUUGUUGUUCAUGAGUCUUUUGUCAUCAAGUAACUAAACGACCAAGGGUUUGAAUGAGGGGUUUUUAAAUAGAGAUAAAUUAAAUUGCACUGUUUUGAACUUAAGUGCAUCAUGCUUUCUAAACCGUCCUUAACGUUGCUUGUUCCCUUCCUAUGUUCACUCAUUGAGUUUAUACUCACGGUUUCAAUUUCAUGUUUUCAGAUUCAGGGGUGGUUGAGACGUAAAUUGAGGUGUCCGCGUACUCUCAUCUUUUGGGCAGGUACUUUGACAUUCAGUAGUCAUAUCUCCCAUCCAAAGUCACUCCGCUGACGGUCAAGUUCUAAUUACGUGUAUAUGACUAUUUGUUGUGAAAUGCUGAGAUUCACUUGUCAAAUUAUAUGUAUGUAUAUAAUGGUUGAUGAUGCCAUUAUGAAUACAUGACUGGGUUUUAUGAGUUGUUUUCAAAGGAAUUGUAAUUGAGCAUUAUGAAUUUUGGAUUCUAAAAGAAUAUGGAUUAACGUAUAAGAUCAUG
rnacentral:lncRNA from 1 species